rnacentral:rRNA from 1 species
UACGUAGGGUGCAAGCGUUGUCCGGAAUUAUUGGGCGUAAAGAGCUCGUAGGCGGUCUGUCACGUCGGCUGUGAAAACCCGAGGCUCAACCUCGGGCCUGCAGUCGAUACGGGUAAACUAGAGUACUGCAGGGGAGACUGGAAUUCCUGGUGUAGCGGUGAAAUGCGCAGAUAUCAGGAGGAACACCGGUGGCGAAGGCGGGUCUCUGGGCAGUAACUGACGCUGAGGAGCGAAAGCGUGGGGAGCGAACAGG